rnacentral:lncRNA from 1 species
CCCUUGCUCCUGGCUUGACGCCGUUAGAAUAAAAUAUAAGAAAAUUAACUUGACAUCUUUAUCUUUUCCAAGGAAAUAAAGAAAGCUUAGCUGGCUCCCACUCACAUCUCAUCUCUCUCAAAUCCCUAAAUCACUUCCAUAAACCUAAGUCUGCAGAUUUCCCUCAAAGGCUAUGAACGACAGCAUGUAUACUAAAAUCAGAGCUAUAUAUUUCUACUCUUUCACUCUUUCAUCUCUGUCACAGUAGGUUUGAAACCCGUUUGUGCAGGUUUGGGGAGAAAAUCAAACUAGGAAUGGACGACUAUCUUACCCA